rnacentral:rRNA from 1 species
UACGUAGGGUGCAAGCGUUAAUCGGAAUUACUGGGCGUAAAGCGUGCGCAGGCGGUUGCAUAAGACAGAUGUGAAAUCCCCGGGCUCAACCUGGGAACUGCAUUUGUGACUGUGGGGCUAGAGUACGGUAGAGGGGGAUGGAAUUCCCCGUGUAGCAGUGAAAUGCGUAGAUAUGCGGAGGAACACCAAUGGCGAAGGCAAUCCCCUGGACCUGUACUGACGCUCAUGCACGAAAGCGUGGGGAGCAAGCAGG